UACGUAGGGUGCAAGCGUUAUCCGGAAUUAUUGGGCGUAAAGAGCUCGUAGGCGGUUUGUCACGUCUGCUGUGAAAACUGGAGGCUCAACCUCCAGCCUGCAGUGGGUACGGGCAGACUAGAGUGCGGUAGGGGAGAUUGGAAUUCCUGGUGUAGCGGUGGAAUGCGCAGAUAUCGGGAGGAACACCAGUGGCGAAGGCGGUUGCCUGGGGCUUUGCUGACGCUGAUGCGCGAAAGCGUGGGGAGCGAUCCGG
rnacentral:rRNA from 1 species